AUGGAGGCGACUCUGAGCAGCUCCAGAGAGCAAGCCUUGGCCUCUGACUGUCAAACCUCCGCGGAAAUGGUCUCUAAAGGAAGAAGUCUCCCGACUCUUUACAAAAAUGUAAAACCACCUAGGAAAGGAAGCAUCCACGUGGAUGGGGAGAAACAAUUGAAAAUAAUAGCUACACAGCAUUCAAGGGCACUUCUACUUUUGGACCUCAGAGCAAAUGAGAAGGCGAAAGUUCGGACUUGAAGACCCGUCUGUACAGUUAGGCGAGCAAGGACCAUACUUGGAGAACCAUGCUAUAGAACAUCAGAGAGAGAAGACAGUGGGAUCAUUUGGGGAUGGAAGAGAGAGAGUUUUCUAAAGGAAGAAUUGCUGGAAAGAACAACAACAACAAAGGGCCCACUCUACCACUCUACUCACUGGUUAAGACUUCAUCGCCUCCUGAUGCAGAAGCAACAGAACAGAUUUUUCUUCAGUAUUUGAAGCUGAAGAGCUUUUGUCAAGAUAUGCAACCUCUUUGAACUUCUGUUUCCUGUUCUGUAUAAAUAGGAGUAAUAAUAAAGCCAACUUCUGUGCAUUGCUCUUAGGAGUU
rnacentral:lncRNA from 1 species